rnacentral:rRNA from 1 species
GAUGAACGCUAGCGGGAGGCCUAACACAUGCAAGCCGAGCGGUAGAGAUUCUUCGGAAUCUUGAGAGCGGCGUACGGGUGCGGAACACGUGUGCAACCUGCCUUUAUCAAGGGGAUAGCCUUUCGAAAGGAAGAUUAAUACCCUAUAAUAUAUGAUUCGGCAUCGGAUUAUAUUGAAAACUACGGUGGAUAAAGAUGGGCACGCGCAAGAUUAGCUAGUUGGUGAGGUAACGGCUCACCAAGGCGACGAUCUUUAGGGGGCCUGAGAGGGUGAUCCCCCACACUGGUACUGAGACACGGACCAGACUCCUACGGGAGGCAGCAGUGAGGAAUAUUGGACAAUGGGUGAAAGCCUGAUCCAGCCAUCCCGCGUGUAGGAAGACGGCCCUAUGGGUUGUAAACUACUUUUAUCUGGGGAUAAACCUACUUACGUGUAAGUAGCUGAAGGUACCAGAUGAAUAAGCACCGGCUAACUCCGUGCCAGCAGCCGCAGUAACAC